rnacentral:rRNA from 1 species
AUGACCGAGGCUCUACCGCACCUCACCAGCCUCUCCCCGCUCCUCCUCCCCCACCGGAGUGCCUCUCCUUUGCCGUUUCCUCGUCGUUCGUCCACAGUGGUCAUCGGUCUCAGCUUGAGUACGGCCACCACAGGCCUCCCCUCGCCUCUCAUCUACGUCCACCGCACUUCCCACACUCCCACGAGUCGCCCCGACCCCUUGACCCCUCGCCAGAGUGCCCACAUCGCUGGAGACGUCACCACCACCACCACCGCCUUUGUCCUCCUUCUGGCGCCGCCCCUCCCCACCUCCCUACUCCUCCCCGGCAACGGCCGACCCUCUGAAUUGGUGCGGCAGGCCACCCUGCAUCUGUCGAUGCCCCGAGCAUCGCCGAAGACGGCCCCUAGCGCCAGAAGCCACCGACGGAGCCCGCCUCUGCCUCCUCCCAUUGCCGCCUCCCCUCCCCGCUGGCAGCUCUGCCCGGGAACUGCGGCUCGGCCGACCGCACCCACCGGGGGUCGCCGCUCGGCCAGGGACGGCCUGAGCUGGCCGGGCCCUGGCGCCCUUCUCCCCUGCCUCCGCUUAUUCCACAAGGGAAUAGAGGCACGAGGAAGAAGACGCCCGAGCGCCAGCCUGGCCCCUGCUAGUGGGUCCCUCCUCCCCAGCCGACCCCACCCAAGCGUAUUCCUGCCGAAGGCGCUUUCUGUCUUUCCCACUAGGGCCCUUUUGCUGAAAAGUAUUCACGGAUAG